rnacentral:rRNA from 1 species
UACGUAGGGCGCAAGCGUUUAUCCGGAAUUAUUGGGCGUAAAGAGCUCGUAGGCGGUUUGUCGCGUCUGCCGUGAAAGUCCGGGGCUCAACUCCGGAUCUGCGGUGGGUACGGGCAGACUAGAGUGAUGUAGGGGAGACUGGAAUUCCUGGUGUAGCGGUGAAAUGCGCAGAUAUCAGGAGGAACACCUAUAGCGAAGGCAGCUUGCUGGGACGUUACUGACGCUAAGGCGCGAAAGCGUGGGGAGCGAACAGG